rnacentral:rRNA from 1 species
CCCUUAGAUGUCCUGGGCUGCACGCGCGCUACACUGAUGCAUUCAACGAGUUUCUUCCUGGUCCGAGAGGAAUGGGUAACCUUUUGAAAGUGCAUCGUGAUAGGGAUAGACUAUUGCAAUUAUUGGUCUUCAACGAGGAAUUCCUAGUAGACGUAGUUCAUCAGACUGCAUCGAUUACGUCCCUGCCCUUUGUACACACCGCCCGUCGCUCCUACCGAUUGAAUGCUCAGGUGAGCCAUUCGGACUUUCAUCAUGCUGGUUUCCAGUUUUGAUGAAGGAAAGUCUUGCGAACCUUAUCAUUUAGAGGGAGGAGAAGUCGUAACA